GCCUGGGUGGCUCAGUCGGUUAAGCGUCUGAUUUCAACUCAGGUCAUGAUCUUGCUGUCUGUGAGUUCGAGCCCCGCGUCGGGCU
rfam:Felis catus isolate Cinnamon breed Abyssinian chromosome B4, whole genome shotgun sequence.